rnacentral:rRNA from 1 species
GAUGAACGCUAGCGGCAGGCCUAACACAUGCAAGUCGAGGGAGAAGCCCUUUCGGGGGCAGAAACCGGCGCACGGGUGCGUAACGCGUAUGUAACCUACCUUUCACAGGGGGAUAGCCCGAAGAAAUUUGGAUUAAUACUCCCUCAUAUUGUUGGAUGGCAUCAUUUGGCAAUCAUAACUGCGCUGGUGAACGAUGGGCAUGCGUCCUAUUAGCUAGUUGGAGUGGUAACGGCACCCCAAGGCUACGAUAGGUAGGGUUCUUGAGAGGGAGAUCCCCCACACUGGUACUGAGACAGGGACCAGACUCCUACGGGAGGCAGCAGAGUGGUAUAUUGGGCAAUGGUCGGAAGACUGAACCAGCCAUGCCUCGUGCAGGAAGAAUGCCUUAUGGGUUGUAAACUGCUUUUAUAGGGGAAGAAUAAGGCGUACGUGUACGUUGAUGACGGUACCAUAUGAAUAAGCAUCGGCUAACUCCGUG